UAAACGACUCUCGGCAACGGAUAUCUCGGCUCUUGCAUCGAUGAAGAACGUAGCGAACUGCGAUACUUGGUGUGAAUUGCAGAAUCCCGUGAACCAUCGAGUCUUUGAACGCAAGUUGCGCCCGAAGCCAUUAGGCCAAGGGCACGUCUGCCUGGGCGUCACGC
rnacentral:rRNA from 1 species